UACGGGGGGAGCAAGCGUUGUUCGGAUUUACUGGGCGUAAAGGGCGCGUAGGCGGCCUCCGCAAGUCGACUGUGAAAUCUCCGGGCUUAACCCGGAAAGGUCAGCCGAAACUGCGGGGCUAGAGUGCAGAAGGGGCAACUGGAAUUCUCGGUGUAGCGGUGAAAUGCGUAGAUAUCGAGAGGAACACCUGCGGCGAAGGCGGGUUGCUGGGCUGACACUGACGCUGAAGCGCGAAAGCGUGGGGAGCAAACGGG
rnacentral:rRNA from 1 species